rnacentral:rRNA from 1 species
CCCUACGGGACGCAGCAGUGGGGAGUAUUGCACAAUGGGGGAAACCCUGAUGCAGCGACGCCGCGUGAGCGAUGAAGUAUUUCGGUAUGUAAAGCUCUAUCAGCAGGGAAGAAAAUGACGGUACCUGACUAAGAAGCCCUGGCUAACUACGUGCCAGCAGCCGCGGUAAUACGUAGGGGGCAAGCGUUAUCCGGAUUUACUGGGUGUAAAGGGAGCGUAGACGGUCCUGCAAGCCAGAUGUGAAAGCCCGGGGCUCAACCCCGGGACUGCUCUGGAAACUGUACGGCUGGAGUGCAGGAGAGGUA